AGACGUCUACAUUAGAUACCCCGGUAGUCCCAGCCGUAAACUAUGCGCGUUAGGUGUAUUGGUGACCACGAGUUACCGAGGUGCCGAAGGGAAACCGUGAAACGUGCCGCCUGGGAAGUACGGUCGCAAGGCUGAAACUUAAAGGAAUUGGCGGGGAGCACCACAACGGGUGGAGCCUGCGGUUUAAUUGGACUCAACGCCGGGAAGCUCACCGGAUAAGACAGCGGAAUGAUUGCCGGGCUGAAGACUCUGCAUGACUAGCUG
rnacentral:rRNA from 1 species